UUUUGGAGGGAUAUUUUAAUGAAGGACAAGUGGAAAAAGCAAUUCGGAGGUUAUUAGAACUGGACUUUAAGUUCAAAGAUUUCAGUUUAGCUCCAUAUACAAUUUUACUUAUAGGCUUGUGUCAGGCAAACAGAGUAAAAGAAGCAUUAAUAAUUUUUUCUGUUCUUGAUGAGUUCAACAUCAAUAUCAAUCCUCCAAGUUGUGGACACUUGAUUAAGUGUCUUUGUAAUAUACGGAGGCUGGAUAAAGCAGUAGAUGUUUUUCAUUACGCUUUGGACAAAGGUUUCAAGUUGGGUAGACAUAUUCAAAACAAACUCCUCUUGCGCCUUCUUUCUUCUCCAACUGAUAAGGAAUAUGCAGUUGCUCUUGUUAAAAGAAUGGAGUCUCUUGGAUAUACUCUUAGUAGGUAUCAUUCUAAGAAAGUGAGGUCUCUUUUACUUCAGUACUGGAGACAACAACCAAAAUACCGGAAACAUCAAGCAGGAUUGCCUGAGACGAGUGGAAAGCAAGGACUUAAUUCUCAGAAGUGAUUGAAUGACGCUGAGAGGUCAUGUUGAAUGAAUAUCUUCUUUUGGACCUUCACUAUCCUUCUCUCUUAAGCAGAAUGCUCAGAACUAAGUGUGACGUUUUGAUGAACCAGAGGUGCCUUUAAUAUUCUUCAUAUUGAGAGGUCUUUAUUAUGAGGGAGGUAGUGAAGCCACGGGAUGACUUUCCUGUCAAUUAUGAUACAGUAUUGGAUAAUCUGAUUGAACUGUCAAGUGGAAGUAACGUGCACUUAUGGUGGCCAUACGAAAUGUGAGCAGAUGCGCUGCUGUCAAAUUUUCUCAGCAGCCAGAAUGUGUGUUAUGAUUCAGUCUUCUCCACUAAUAGAUAGAAGAUUAAUAAUGAAAUGACAUGGUAGAAAGGUUUGAGGAGCUUGGACAACUACGCCUGUAGGUGAACGGCUAUGGAUUGUUGAAGGAUUUUUUUUUUUUAAUCGGUAUCUCAUUCUUGGAUGUAAUUGAUUGAUCAGGUAAGAUGUUUAUUUACUCCUUCUUAAUGGCUUUCUCACUAAGCAAGUCAGGUUUGGUUUGUAUAUUAAUUUAAUUUGAGCGAAGUUUUUAUUAGCUUUGAGCCUAUAA